AGAGUUUGAUCCUGGCUCAGGACGAACGCUGGCGGCGUGCCUAAUACAUGCAAGUCGAGCGGACAGAUGGGAGCUUGCUCCCUGAUGUUAGCGGCGGACGGGUGAGUAACACGUGGGUAACCUGCCUGUAAGACUGGGAUAACUCCGGGAAACCGGGGCUAAUACCGGAUGGUUGUUUGAACCGCAUGGUUCAAACAUAAAAGGUGGCUUCGGCUACCACUUGCAGAUGGACCCGCGGCGCAUUAGCUAGUUGGUGAGGUAAUGGCUCACCAAGGCAACGAUGCGUAGCCGACCUGAGAGGGUGAUCGGCCACACUGGGACUGAGACACGGCCCAGACUCCUACGGGAGGCAGCAGUAGGGAAUCUUCCGCAAUGGACGAAAGUCUGACGGAGCAACGCCGCGUGAGUGAUGAAGGUUUUCGGAUCGUAAAGCUCUGUUGUUAGGGAAGAACAAGUGCCGUUCGAAUAGGGCGGUACCUUGACGGUACCUAACCAGAAAGCCACGGCUAACUACGUGCCAGCAGCCGCGGUAAUACGUAGGUGGCAAGCGUUGUCCGGAAUUAUUGGGCGUAAAGGGCUCGCAGGCGGUUUCUUAAGUCUGAUGUGAAAGCCCCCGGCUCAACCGGGGAGGGUCAUUGGAAACUGGGGAACUUGAGUGCAGAAGAGGAGAGUGGAAUUCCACGUGUAGCGGUGAAAUGCGCAGAGAUGUGGAGGAACACCAGUGGCGAAGGCGACUCUCUGGUCUGUAACUGACGCUGAGGAGCGAAAGCGUGGGGAGCGAACAGGAUUAGAUACCCUGGUAGUCCACGCCGUAAACGAUGAGUGCUAAGUGUUAGGGGGUUUCCGCCCCUUAGUGCUGCAGCUAACGCAUUAAGCACUCCGCCUGGGGAGUACGGUCGCAAGACUGAAACUCAAAGGAAUUGACGGGGGCCCGCACAAGCGGUGGAGCAUGUGGUUUAAUUCGAAGCAACGCGAAGAACCUUACCAGGUCUUGACAUCCUCUGACAAUCCUAGAGAUAGGACGUCCCCUUCGGGGGCAGAGUGACAGGUGGUGCAUGGUUGUCGUCAGCUCGUGUCGUGAGAUGUUGGGUUAAGUCCCGCAACGAGCGCAACCCUUGAUCUUAGUUGCCAGCAUUCAGUUGGGCACUCUAAGGUGACUGCCGGUGACAAACCGGAGGAAGGUGGGGAUGACGUCAAAUCAUCAUGCCCCUUAUGACCUGGGCUACACACGUGCUACAAUGGACAGAACAAAGGGCAGCGAAACCGCGAGGUUAAGCCAAUCCCACAAAUCUGUUCUCAGUUCGGAUCGCAGUCUGCAACUCGACUGCGUGAAGCUGGAAUCGCUAGUAAUCGCGGAUCAGCAUGCCGCGGUGAAUGCGUUCCCGGGCCUUGUACACACCGCCCGUCACACCACGAGAGUUUGUAACACCCGAAGUCGGUGAGGUAACCUUUUAGGAGCCAGCCGCCGAAGGUGGGACAGAUGAUUGGGGUGAAGUCGUAACAAGGUA
rnacentral:rRNA from 1 species